rnacentral:rRNA from 1 species
AUUGAACGCUGGUGGCAUGCCUUACACAUGCAAGUCGAACGGCAGCGGACCUUCGGGUGCCGGCGAGUGGCGAACGGGUGGGUAAUAUAUCGGAACGUACCUUUCAGUGGGGGAUAACGUAGCGAAAGUUACGCUAAUACCGCAUAUUCUGUGAGCAGGAAAGCAGGGGAUCGCAAGACCUUGCGCUGAUUGAGCGGCCGAUAUCAGAUUAGCUAGUUGGUGAGGUAAAGGCUCACCAAGGCGACGAUCUGUAGCGGGUCUGAGAGGAUGAUCCGCCACACUGGAACUGAGACACGGUCCAGACUCCUACGGGAGGCAGCAGUGGGGAACUUUGGACAAUGGGCGCAAGCCUGAUCCAGCCAUGCCGCCGUGAGUGAAGAAGGCC